rnacentral:rRNA from 2 species
UACAGAGGUGGCAAGCGUUGUUCGGAAUUACUGGGCGUAAAGGGCGCGUAGGCGGCCUUCUUAGUCGGACGUGAAAUCCCCAGGCUCAACUUGGGAACUGCGUCCGAUACUGGAGGGCUCGAGUGCGGGAGAGGGAUGUGGAAUUCCAGGUGUAGCGGUGAAAUGCGUAGAUAUCUGGAGGAACACCGGUGGCGAAGGCGGCAUCCUGGACCGACACUGACGCUGAUGCGCGAAAGCUAGGGGAGCAAACGGG